CUGAGAGAAGAAAAGGCACUGUUAACUCAGCAGGUUUUCCACCCGUGGUUGCCACAUAGCCCCGGCCCUCGGAUUUGAUCUGCCUCGAAAUCAACAAGACGACUGACCUGGAUUUUCUCAGCCGGGUACUGUCCCUUGGAUUUUGUGUGUUGCCGGACGAGCAGACAGACAGACACGGGCUUGCCGCUGUGUGGGCUGUCACCGGGUUUUCUCCCCCCAGCUGGUCUGUGGCAUGGAGCUUGGGUGUUGGAUCCGUUCUCUGUGGCUUUCGGGAAGUUUACACACACUCCAGAGUCAGAGGAAGAGUUCACAUCCCUUGGAAAUCUGCUGCACUGAUAUGGCCAUGACAGCCAGUCAUCUUCCUUCAACUGUCCCACCAGCUGGAAAGACAUCUGUAAAUUCAUAAUUAGCCAUUUAUACAGCAAAUAAAUAUAUAUUAUUUGACGAUGCUAUUG
rnacentral:lncRNA from 1 species